GGAAUCUUCGACAAUGGGGGGCAACCCCUGACCGAGCAACGCCGCGUGAGUGAAGAAGGUUUUCGGAUCGUAAAGCUCUGUUGUAAGAGAAGAACGUGUGUGAGAGUGGAAAGUUCACACAGUGACGGUAACUUACCAGAAAGGGACGGCUAACUACGUGCCAG
rnacentral:rRNA from 1 species